rnacentral:rRNA from 1 species
AUUGAACGCUGGCGGCAGGCCUAACACAUGCAAGUCGAGCGGAGCGGCGAACGGGUGAGUAAGGCCUAGGAAUCUGCCUGGUAGUGGGGGAUAACGUCCGGAAACGGGCGCUAAUACCGCAUACUAGCAGAUAAGCCUAGGUCGGAUGAGCUAGUUGGUGGGGUAAAGGCUUACCAAGGCGACGAUCCGUAACCGGACUGAGAGGAUGAUCAGUCACACUGGAACUGAGACACGGUCCAGACUCCUACGGGAGGCAGCAGUGGGGAAUAUUCGACAAUGGGCGAAAGUCUGAUCGAGCCAUGCCGCGUGUAUGAAGAAGGCCUUCGGAUUGUAAAGCACUUUAAGUGGGGAGGCGUUACCCACAGAAGAAGCACCGGCUAACUUCGUGCCAGCAGCCGCGGUAAUAC